UACGUAGGGUGCAAGCGUUAAUCGGAAUUACUGGGCGUAAAGCGUGCGCAGGCGGUUCUAUAAGACAGAUGUGAAAUCCCCGGGCUCAACCCGGGAACUGCGUCCGAUACUGGCAGGCUUGAAUCCGGGAGAGGGAUGCGGAAUUCCAGGUGUAGCGGUGAAAUGCGUAGAUAUCUGGAGGAACACCGGUGGCGAAGGCGGCAUCCUGGACCGGCAUUGACGCUGAGGUGCGAAAGCGUGGGGAGCAAACAGG
rnacentral:rRNA from 1 species